rnacentral:ncRNA from 1 species
AACCCGGUUGGAAAAGAUUUAUCGUGAGGAGUCAGAUGAAGCCAUAGUAGCAGUACAGAAAAUAGUGCUGUGAAGGGC